AGCAUAUGUCUGAACUCAAGAUGAUGCUACCUUUAAAUCUGAACACAGCAAGUCCUUGAAUGUGAAACUUGUGCAGCAGUGAAUGGGAGUGAGACUCCAUGCAUUGUAUCUCUCCUCUAUUGCAGGCUCCGAUACCCUGACAAUGCAGUGCAGCUCUGGAGGGUAAUGGACACUGCAGUUGCAGGAGGCCGUGUCUGUUGGGUUUACCAGUCCUCCUCAUUCUGGAAAAGAAAAGGUGCUGUGGCCGAAAUCCAUGGGAGGAGAGGAUUUCAGUGGUGAUCGAUGAGACAGGCUGGCUUGGGUCGGCCUGGGUGUUCUUGCCUCACAGCGCAACAGCAACCCCUGUAGACUGGCCGAGCGCCUGCAGGCUAGCCUGUAAGCUACUCUGAGCUGUGUUGUCCUCUUCUGCUGUAGCUCUGGGUUGGCUGCAUGACUGCGCGUGUGAAAAUAAAUUGGACCCGACGUGCCUGAGACGCUGCAUAAAUAGACCGUUAAGGGUUAAAGCACGAUUUUCAGUCAUGGACAAAAUUGAGCUCCAUGCUGCGGUUACUAAGGCCACGAUGCGCGGCAAUCACUGAUGCACUUUGUAUUUUAUUAUGCGCUUUUGUUAUUUCAUUUAUUUUUAGACAGAAAUAAUUUUAUUUUCCAUCCUAGGUACAUAGGCUACAUGACAAAACUCCUGUUCCUAUUCAAACAAAACUUGGUGUUUACUAAAUUAACUGUCAUGUUUGUUGUGGGGUGUGUUUUUUUUUUAGUUUUUUUUUUAAAUAUGCAAACUAGGAUGUUCACGUUCUGUCUUUGUAAACCGAUGGCUAAUGUUAGGCCCACUGACAAAACAGACCUUGCAAUACUACAAUGUUGUAUGAUUUGUAUGUCAUUAGACUAUAUUACUAAAACAUUUUAAUUUCUAUUAAAGAUUGACAACAUUGGUGUGUAAAACCAUUUAAUAUACAGUAAAUAAUUCAUUACAAUCACACAAAUUACAUCUGAUUCAACAACAUUUUUACAGGCAGAAAAAAGCUGACAAGCAUUAACAUUUAGCCCUAGUAAAA